rnacentral:lncRNA from 1 species
CUUAGGUAUGCCAUGAGAUCUGUACAUGGAUGAGAUUUCAAUAUUGCUAUUAUUACUUAAGUUAAUUAUCGUAUUUACAAUUCUAAUCCUACCCUGUUGAACAAUUUCUGUGCUCUGAACCAAGUUUCUAUUUACGAAUACUAUAACUCCGUCAUUCCUAUUUAUCCUACUAUCAUUAUAGUAAGACACGUACUCAUAGUUACUCCCGAUCAGUUCAAAAAAAUUAUGAUUAACCUGCUCAAAAGUUUCAGAAAGAACAACAGCAGAUGGUUUGACGAUCAGACUUUCAAAAAAUAUUUUUACCUUACCAAAAUUUGCAUUCAUGCUUCUUACAUUUAAGUGCAUAAUUAUAUCAUUUUUGUUGGUAAUUGCCUUGUUUAGAUCGCCAAUACCACUGUAUGUUUUUCCUUUCUGCAUUGAAUCCUUUUGUAUUAUAUCUAGAUAAUCAAAAGUAUCCAUUUUAUUAAUUUAAGUUUUACUGCUUCUUAACCUUGUAUUUUUUGCUGGAGCAGCAGGUUGAAUUGGUGUUCUAGCAAUCUUCGAUUGUUGAUGUUGCUGCUGCUUGGCUGCUUCACUCCUUUCAUGUCUUUAUUUUGUAGAUUUAGGUAGUUCUUGUGAAGGCUGUUUCAUUGUGUUGUCUGUGGUUGUGUUGUGUGUAUUAGUAGUAUUGUAACGUUCUCGAUAGACUUGAUGUACUGCCGGUAAGGUAGGCCUAAUAGGAUAGUCAGUGGAGUCUAUAUAUAGGCUGAUUUUUUUCUUCAGGGUGUUACACUGGUUUGUAUCGUUAGCAGCGUGGUUGACGUCAAGCUUUGUAUUAUAUUUGCUGUUUGAAAAAACACAAUUCAGACACUUAAAGGCGCUGUUUGUGCAGGUACUAGUCCUGUAUUUUUCUGCGCACUUGAGGCAUACAGAACUGUUGUUGCAUUUAUUACCGUUGUGCCCGAAUCUUCCACAAUUGUAACAUGGAUUUAUAUUUAUAGAGUCAUGUACUUUGCAAUUUUGGUAGCCAACAAAAAUCCUGCUUUUAUUCUCCUUGAUGAAUUUGUAUAUAUCCGCAGGAACCUCCAUCAGUACUGUAGUUAAGCCACUGUAAUUACUUUUGUACAUAUGUAGUACUUGUCCCUUGUUAGUAAAACUCCCAAAAUUUCUCAUGUUUAUGUCAUCCUCUAUGUCCUCCAUUUCCAUGUUACUGUAGUUGUAGAUUUCGACAAUUUUGAUUUUAGGAUUCUUCAACGUAUCUUUCCUAACCUCACAUAUGUCUUCAAAGUUAUGUUUCAAAACCGAUUCAGUCAACACUGCACUUUCACAAUUCAAGCAAUUGAUAACAAGUUCUUCUUUUCUGUUUACGUACAAGUUUUUUGUUUGUAUCUUCUUUUCAGUAACUAAGCACUCUAUAACUUUCUUUUUGACAUCCACUGCUUUAUUACUCACAUAUUUUACAGUUAUCUUAGGCACUUUCUUUGGUAACAGUUUAGGAAACCUUGUAACUUCUACAUACGAAAAACUAGCCGCAGGGCUUUCAUUUUGUUUAUUUAGCAAUUUUUCUCUAAGUAGUAUGUUUUUUUCCGUCAAUUCGCUGACUAGCUGUUUCAGAAGAAGGUUUUCAUUUUUUAUUAGAUUGUACUUUCCUUCAAUAUUGAUGUCAAGUUCAUCCUGUUCUGCUGUUGAAACUUCAAGUAGUAGAUCUCUCCUUACUUCUUCCGUUUUAUUCAGUUUUAUUUGUGCAAUCAGUAAUCUUGUUGCAUCGUCUAAACCUUCCUCUUCUAUUUUUGAGGUUAGGUUUGUGUCACUAUGUUCUGGGCACACUAUUAAGUUACCACUUAUGAAUUUGAUGUCGGUUGUUUUUUGUGCUAAACAACUAAAAUGAUAUACUGCAUCACAUAUGAUGCAAAAUAAUGUUGUUGAAGUUUUAUUGCUAUGAUACUCAAAAUUUGAGACACACUUAUCGGGAGGCAUCCGCACUCCCGCCAUGUUGCUGGCUCAUAUGACUUAUUAAUAGUUAUUUUCUGUUGUAUCCAAUUUUUAUUUAUUUACAAAAUCGUAAAAUUGUAUACCUGAAAAAAACUAAAGUCAUCUAAAGAAAACUCUAGCAAACUUAAUAAAACUGAAGGCAACAGAAAAUUAUUGUUGUCUGCAUCUUAAUUCCGACAUUUUUUUGCUGUCAUCUGCAGUUCAUAACUGUUUUCUUCAGUUGUUUUCAUUUUUCUUUUUCGCUAGGGAUUUAACAUAUCGUUAUCAUUUAAAGGGACACAACACUUUUAAAUCCUGAAAAAAAGAAUUAUGAGUAAAAAUAACUAAAUUAAAGUAAAUCAUUUGAAAUUUUGUUUAGUGUAUUUAGUAUAAAUACCUUCAACUUUACUGUGCUAAAACGUUAAUUAUCCCUGUUGGCCUACUGUGGCACGCAGUGCAAUGUAACAAGCACGCAUUCACGCGCUGCUUCUAUACGUCGUAUACGCGACUCACACGAGUGGAGUGUUGUGUUGUUGUCAAAUACGCGGCGCACCUCGCGCGAAUGCAAUAACCUGACCAUAGUUAUUUCCUGAAUAUGCACAGUGCUUAUGAUGCUAUACACUGUUUUAUUAAAUACAUAUGCGUAGAGAGCAGUGAAUGCAUCAUUUUUUAAUACAUUACACUUUUUUAAAAACACACAGGACUAUAACCAUAAUAAAAUUGCAGAAAAUCAAUCACAUCCGGGCUAUAAAUAACGUCGCUUUUUUUAAGCCGCGGCCGAGAUACAGUCUUCUCAAAGUCAACGACCAGAUACGGCCUUCUUGCACAAAGAUCGCGAUACGGCGCAGUUGUUACACAGUGUCGGAGUUCUGGAUAAGCUGAAGGUUUUGGAGUUGUCUGCCGGUGAUGUUGUGUUUGUUGAUUGUACGGGCCUGCUGCCGUUAUUAUUGGACAUCCUUAAUCGACUGGGCUUCCGGUAUUGCCGAUCUCCUGGGCUCCUCGUUGACGUCUACCUCCUCUUUCUCGUCCUCAAACUUGAUGAGAUCGUUGCCGUACGCACCGCCUGAAAGCUGCUACAGCUGUUGCUCCUUGCUCGAGUGCAGGCUUUUGGUCGCAGGAUGUUGAGCGCGAAAGACAUGUGUGGCAUGAUCGAAGUCGCACCCUUUAGGUCGAGCUGUAAGUUGCUAUAACGGAAGAUGAAGGAGUCACACCUAGUAGUCUUUGAUUUUUUUUGGAGGAAUGCUUGAAUGAGGUUAUGAAAGAGGAGAAUAAAGUAGAGUUGCUGUAAAGGAGGCUCUGGUGUAAUUAGCCAAUGUAGUCGUGAUUUAAUAGGUGACAGGGUCGUCGUCGAACUCGAGUGGCGAGAGCUUGAUGAAGUUGAAACCGAUCCUGGAGUUGCCGCGAAUCACGCUAUCGGUAUCGUUCAUGAUGUCGCAGACCAGCAUGUUCUAAAGCGAUUGGUCAAUCCUAGUGCCCAGUCCAAGUACGGUCCCUGGUCUAAAAUGCUGCAGUGUCUUACUUUCCGUAUCCAACAUUUACGCAUUGGGCCUGUCACUGACGAUCCACGCUAGUGCUUGAAUCGUUCUGAUGGCCGCCCAGCUCUUAUAUAGAUACACGAAUAUUGACGGACGAUGCAUUAGCGGUUGCACGAGUAUCUUUGUUCUAUAUUGGGUACUAUUUAGACGGUUCCUGCCAGUAGAGAAAGCACAAACUUGUCCAACGGAAGGACCAAAUUUCUUGGUUACCUUUUCCAAUAAUCCGUCAGAGUUUAUCACCAUGCAGCACCUGUAGAAGCACUUCCACAGUUCCGACACUUAAAACGCGACACUAUUAAUGCAUCACAACUUGAAUACUGGCAAGAGAAUUUCAUAUAUUUGCGUAAUAUUUAACUUUAUUGAAAACCAUAACAAUUUCUAAAUUCCAAUCAGCACAGCAGAAAAAAGCAAAAUACUUAACUCAAGCAUGAACGAGUGCAGCAUAUUUAUUCCGAAUUUCUAACUUAUGAGAAUAAAGGCAUACUCCGAAACGAUGAUCUGGAGAUUCUAUUUGCGGCAUGAACAAACACCUUAAAUUUUAUUCAAAAACUGCUUAACCUCUUAAUCUAUAGCCGAUAUUUUGGAGUGGCUAACUUCAAAAAGAAUUGACAAGAGAUUUGUAAGUGUUGUGUCCCCUUAAAAUCAGUUGCUCAUACAUACGCGUCAACAGAUUGAAAUAUAGGUCAAAUAAGUGAGAUGCAAAGAGGUUAAAAGGCAAUUUUAAAGUAUAUUACACAGUGUAUAAAACUUAUACUUGCCAUCGGAGCGCUACCGCGCCCCUUGAUAAACUGUACAAAAGGUUCAAAUAAGAUUAAAAUAACCGUAGACAAUUAGUUGUUCAACUCUUAUUUAAUAAAAGAUUUGUUUACUCUUA